rnacentral:rRNA from 1 species
CCUACGGGUGGCAGCAGUGAGGAAUAUUGGUCAAUGGACGAGAGUCUGAACCAGCCAAGUCGCGUGAAGGAUGACGGCCCUAUGUGUUGUAAACUUCUUUUGUAUGGGAAUAAAAUGUUCCACGUGUGGGAUUUUGUAUGUACCAUAUGAAUAAGGAUCGGCUAACUCCGUGCCAGCAGCCGCGGUAAUACGGAGGAUCCGAGCGUUAUCCGGAUUUAUUGGGUUUAAAGGGAGCGUAGGGGGAUUGUUAAGUCAGGUGUGAAAGUUUGCGGCUCAACCGUAAAAUUGCAGUUGAAACUGGCAGUCUGGAGUGCAGUAGAGGUGGGCGGAAGUCGUGGUGUAGCGGUGAAAUGCUUAGAUAUUACGAAGAACUCCGAUUGCGAAGGCAGCUCACUGGACUGCAACUGACACUGAGGCUCGAAAGUGUGGGUAUCAAACAGGAUUAGAUACCCGAGUAGUC